rnacentral:rRNA from 1 species
CGAAUGCUGACGUGAGUAACGACAAAACGGGUGAAAAACCCGUUCGCCGAAAGACCAAGGGUUCCAGUCCAACGUUAAUCGGGGCUGGGUGAGUCGACCCCUAAGGCGAGGCCGAAAGGCGUAGUCGAUGGGAAAAUGGUUAAUAUUCCAUUACUUCUGUGUAAUGCGAUGAGAGGACGGAGAAGGCUAAAUCAGCCUGGCGUUGGUUGUCCAGGUGAAAGGAUGUAGGCAUGUAUCUUAGGCAAAUCCGGGGUACUCUAUGCUGAGAUCUGAUAGCAAGCUGUACUUGUACAGCGAAGUGGUUGAUGCCAUGCUUCCAGGAAAAGUCUCUAAGCUUCAGUUACACAGGAAUCGUACCCGAAACCGACACAGGUGGUCAGGUCGAGUAGACCAAGGCGCUUGAGAGAACUCUGCUGAAGGAACUAGGCAAAAUGGUACCGUAACUUCGGGAGAAGGUAC